rnacentral:rRNA from 1 species
GACGGAAGGUGCAAGCGUUGCUCGGAAUCACUGGGCGUAAAGGGUGCGUAGGCGGCCGUGCAAGUCUGGCGUGAAAGCCCCGGGCUCAGCCCGGGAAGUGCGCUCGAAACUGCGCGGCUCGAGUGCCGGAGGGGAGAGUGGAAUUCCUGGUGUAGCGGUGAAAUGCGUAGAUAUCAGGAGGAAUACCGGUGGCGAAAGCGGCAUCCUGGACCGGCAUUGACGCUGAGGAGCGAAAGCCAGGGGAGCAAACGGG